AUCACUUCUCGGCCUUUUGGCUAAGAUCAAGUGUAGUAAUCUGUAAAACAGAACCAGGCGUUGUGCAUCAGGAGAUCACCUAGGUUUUCUGAUUUCCUCCUUGGCUAUCAAAUUUGUGUAGUUAGCAUUUAAUGUGUAGCAAAUCUUGUACUAAAGACUUUCUGUGUAUUACCUCAU
ensembl:snRNA U2 U2 spliceosomal RNA